rnacentral:rRNA from 1 species
AUGAAGAUGGUGAUCCCCACUAUCUCAGGCGCUGCUACUUCUGAUACUUCGGCCAAGGCUGAAGAUCAUGAGAUGGAAGACGCUGCCACUUCUAAACCUGCUCCAUCUAACGUUGUUAUUGACCUUCCUGACGACGACGAUGAGGAACCACUGAGGCAGAGGAGGAACAGGAAAACGUCUGCUGGCAAGGUGACUCAAGACGUGCCAGCACCCGAGACACUGGUCGCGGAGGGAGAGAACAUCACUCGGCCUACCGUAUCUUUUGCGGUGCCGUUGACGAGUGCUCGCCCCUCGUCGUCGAGUGCUGCAUAG